rnacentral:ncRNA from 1 species
UGACCCUUUGUCCCGCCCAUUGUAGCACGUGUGUCGUGGAGCAUUUGGUUUAAUUCGAUGUAAAGCGAAGAACCUUACCAGGGCUUGACAUGCCGCGAAUCCUGUUGAAAGAGAGGGGUGCCCUCGGGAACGCGUACACAGGUGGUGCAUGGCUGUCGUCAGUUCGUGUCGUAAGGUGUUGGGUUAAGUCUCGUAACGAGCGCAACCCUCGUGUUUAGUUGCCACUAUGAGUUUGAAACCUUGAACAGAUAGCCGGUGUGAAGCCGGAGGAAGGCGAGGAUGAGGCCAAGUCAUCAUGCCCCUUAUUCCAUGGGCGACACACGUGCUACAAUGGGCGGGACAAAGGGUCUCGAUCUCGCGAGGGUGAGCUAACUCCAAAAACCCGUCCUCAGUUCGGAUUGCAGGCUGCAACUCGCCUGCAUGAAGCAGGAAUCGCUAGUAAUCGCCGGUCAGCCAUACGGCGGUGAAUCCGUUCCCAGGCCUUGUACACACCGCCCGUCACACUAUAGGAGCUGGCCAUGUUUGAAGUCAUUACCCUUAACCGUAAAGAGGGGGAUGCCUAAGGCUAGGCUUGCGACUGGAGUGAAGUCGUAACAAGGUAGCCAUACUGGAAGGUGCGGCUG